rnacentral:lncRNA from 1 species
GAAGAUUACUUCCUAUUGAUGUAUAUAUACUUUGUUCUUUGUUCACGUCUCUCAUAACUAUAUUAACAAAUAUGAAUACCAAAGUAACAAUUUUCUUUCUGGUCUGUGUUUUCGGUAAGCAAACAUUUUAUACUCAGUUUAAUAACCUUUUUUUCGUCUGUAUUGUAAUACUAUUUUAAUCAUCUUUUGUUAUCUUACAUGUCUAAGAUAAUAUUUGCAACAUUCAACGCGAUGUGUGAACUAAACAAGCAAACAUUAUAGGUAUAAACAAUAGGGGUACAGCAUUCAACAUUGUGUUAUUAUCUUAAUAAUUAUUACGCACACAAAUAUAUAAACGAACAAUAACCAUAUCACAAUAACACAAUGACAUGAUUUAUAAGUACAGAGCUACGACAAAUGUAACAAAGAAACGCAGAAAUACAUAGAGAUACUCUCGAUGUAUUAUGUCUAAAUGAUUCACUGUUAAAUAAAUAUUGAUAAUUAUAAUAUAUUAUCCAAUUUGUAUAUUUACGCUACCGAAGACUUAUUCAACUGGUCUCACAGUGAAAGCACAUGAACACUUAUGAUACUUAUGUACUUUGGAUCCAGAUAAAUCCGUAAGGACACGUGGCAAAUUUAUUUGGCCUUUAUCCCGUUUGCAGUUAGUUUAUAUCAACUUCUAAUUGGGUAAAAUUAUCUGUUCAGCUUCUGGGGGCAUCGUUCACAAAUUGUACAAACUAGCCUGGCUAAACGUGACGUCAUACAAAUGAAAACUUACCAACUGAAGGUUAUUACGUUACCUCAACGAUUGAAAUUUGGAUAAAAUCAUAUCAAAACGGCGAUUUUUAGAUAGGUGUUGUUUUAUUGUCAGUAAUUAUAAUGUAGUAAUCGAACAUUUGUUGAUCCAUCCAAUUCAAUUUGGCGGGUCCCAUGGGUUACGACUGGUUAACUGGAUUUGACAGUAGCUUUUAGCAAAUAAAAUAAAUUAUUACAUGAAAAUUUCAUUAGAAAUGUGUUUUGAUUAUUUUAAACGGAAUAAAUCUCUCAUAUAUGUAGAACCUAUACAUUAUAUGUUAUACUAACAAUAUAAUGUGUUGGGAGAACCACAUAGUAUUGUGUAAGAAAUACAUAUUAUGUUGAAAGUCAAAUGUAUAAUGUUGCAGGUAACACAUGCUAUGUUGAAAGUAUCUUAUAUAGUAUUGUAACUACCGCAAAUAAUAGUGUUAGUAACACAGAUAAGGUUUAAAGUACAACAUACAUUAUGAAUAGUACAACAUAUAAUGUUGUGAGUACCACGAAUAAUUCUAAAAGUACCACACAUUAUAUUCUAAGUACCACAUAUAAUUUUGCUAGUACUACAUUUUAUGUUGUAAGUAUCACAAAUAAUAUUGUUAGUACCAUAAUGUAAUAUCUGAGUGAAAAAGUAUGUUUCAAAAAGAUCCAGGUCAAAGGUGCUUGUGCAGACAUGGUAUUAGUUAAACAAUGAUAUUUCCCUCUUAAUCAGAUGAGAUGUGCUAUGUUUUGGUUUUAUAACACACCCAGCAUACAUUUUGUAUGAAGCAUGUGUUCGUCGCAUGUCUGGGAUUUUUUAUACGAAAUUUAUCGAAGUAUGGUCUUCUCUUGAAAUAACAUGCAUCGAUGUGAGGCAACUUGAAGGUAAUGUGUUAUAGUCCUUACUUUAAAUUAUAAUCAGAUAUAGGAAGAUGUGGUGUGAGUGCCAAUGAGACAACUCUCCAUCCAAAGAACAAUCUAAAAAGUAAACCAUUAUAGGCCUUCAAUACGGAGCCUUGGCUCACACCGAAAAACAAGCUAUAAAGGGCCCCAAAAUUACUAUUGUAAAAUCAUUCAAACGGGAAAACCAACGGUCUAAUCUAUAUAAACAAAACGGGAAACGAGAAACACGUAUAUAUUACAUAAACAAACGACAACUACUGUACAUCAGAUUUCUGACUUAGGACAGGUGCAAAUAUUUGCAGCGGGAUUAAACGUUUUAAUGGAUUCAAACCUUCUCCCUUUUUCUGAAACAAUAGCAUAACAUCACAACAUAGAAAAACACCCGAUAAAAUAUCAAUUGGCAGACUUAACUCAAUCAAAAAACGUAUGGUUAAUUGUUCACUUUUACCAGCUGUGACUUGAAUGGCACUCAUAACACAUCUGUUAUCUAUCUAUACACACCUGUAUCUGUAAAAACACAAAUUUUACGUUUCAGUUUUCAUCACAGGAGAGUCAUGUAACAACGUGAGCGGUUGUGUGUACACCAGAUGCGCAGGCCAAACUAAGAUUACCUGUAUUAACCACUUGUGUACUUGUAUGCGUGCCCAUGGUAAAGUUGUUUACUUCAAAUAUAAUUGCAUACCUUGAAAUAAGGUGUUCUGCUACAAAAAGAAAAUGACCUUGUUUAAAUAAUCAACAAUUUCGAAGUAUGAGUUACUUUCAAUACACCCUUCACCGUUCAAAAAAACCCAUUUAAACCUUUUGAAAGAUUUUCAGGAGUUUAGCUUGAAAUGAUGAAUAUAAAUGAAUACGAGUUCACUUGUUGAGCAUUUAUGAUUUACACAACCAAACGACAAACAGGUGCCUUUACAGUAUUUAGAUAGGAAAAAUUGUAUGGCAAAGUUAGUGAAUUUUUAAUUCCAAUUUUGUAUGUAUUUUCCUCGUGUCCGACUGUAGGUUUUUCAAAAUUUCAAAAACAGAAGAACAAAAAUCAUGGCCAAAAAUGAUGGUAGGAACGAUGAUCUCUCAAUUUAAUACUUGGCAAUAGACAAGGCUGUUUAAUAAAAAGUAUAAUAUUGUUUUGUUUAUUUUUUGUAGCAUGUAAAGAAGACAUGGCUUGCGAGAUUUAUUGUCAUCCAGAAAAAGCACAUUGUAUUCGUGAACGUUGUUCGUGUAGCCCUCAUUAGACCUUUUCAACAUCUCUCGACACCGACUAAUGACACCUACAGUUUACAGGUAGAAUGGAUGGGUCGUCUCAAAGACAAAAACCAUCAUGAUUAUUGUUACGGUAACAUAUUGGAUUGGCGGUUUUAUACUGUUUUGACUAUAUAGUUUAAGAAUAUAUAUCAACCAAAUUAAUAAAUAAAUAUAUGUAUGGUGGCCGGAUGCGGCCAUUUAUUUCGCCUUUUCGCGUUUUUGUGACUUCUCCUUGCAUUUUGCAAACGCGAAAUUGGGAAUUCGAGAAAUCGAGAAAGCAAAAUCGAGAAAUUGAGAAAUCGGGAAAUCGAG